rnacentral:rRNA from 1 species
AGCAGCCGCGGUAAUUCCAGCUCCAAUAGCGUAUAUUAAAGUUGUUGCAGUUAAAAAGCUCGUAGUUGAAUUUCGGGAUCAAUUUAUUGGUCGUGCUAUUGUACGUACUGGUAUUAUUGAUUCCUACCUUCUGACGAACCAUGAUGUCAUUAAUUUGGUGUCAUGGGGAAUCAGGACUGUUACUUUGAAAAAAUUAGAGUGUUUAAAGCAGGCUCACGCUUGAAUACAUUAGCAUGGAAUAACGAAAUAGGACGUUUGAUUCUAUUUUGUUGGUUUCUAGGAUCGACGUAAUGGUUAAUAGGGAUAGUUGGGGGCAUUAGUAUUCAAUUGUCAGAGGUGAAAUUCUUGGAUUUAUUGAAGACUAACUACUGCGAAAGCAUUUGCCAAGGAUGUUUUCAUUAAUCAAGAACGAAAGUUAGGGGAUCGAAGACGAUCAGAUACCGUCGUAGUCUUAACCAUAAACUAUGCCGACUAGGGAUCGGAUGAUGUUAAUUUUUAAUGACUCAUUCGGCGCCUUAAC